rnacentral:rRNA from 1 species
UACAGAGGUCCCAAGCGUUGUUCGGAUUCACUGGGCGUAAAGGGUGCGUAGGCGGUCGGGUAAGUCUGAUGUGAAAUCUCAGAGCUCAACUCUGAAACUGCAUUGGAUACUAUUCGGCUUGAGGUCUGGAGGGAGGACUGGAAUUCUCGGUGUAGCAGUGAAAUGCGUAGAUAUCGAGAGGAACACCAGUGGCGAAGGCGAGUCCCUGGACAGGUCCUGACGCUGAGGCACGAAAGCUAGGGGAGCAAACAGG